CACCACAUAAUGAGAGUAGCGCACGUGGUGGAAGUAAACCACGGUAGGGAACAAUUACCUUAGAAGGUGGGGACAACAGAGGGAAACUUCUGCUAAUACCGCAUAAUCCCUGAGGGGGAAAGAUUUAUCGCUUUAAGAUUGGCCCGCGGAAGAUUAGGUAGUUGGUGGGGUAAAGGCCUACCAAGCCGACGAUCUAUAGCUGGUCUGAGAGGACGAACAGCCACAUUGGAACUGAGACACGGUCCAGACUCCUACGGAAGGCAGCAG
rnacentral:rRNA from 1 species